AGGGCACCACCAGGAGUGGAGCCUGCGGCUUAAUUUGACUCAACACGGGAAAACUCACCCGGCCCGGACACUGGAAGGAUUGACAGAUUGAGAGCUCUUUCUUGAUUCAGUGGGUGGUGGUGCAUGGCCGUUCUUAGUUGGUGGAGUGAUUUGUCUGGUUAAUUCCGAUAACGAACGAGACUCCAGCCUACUAAAUAGAUCGUCGGCUUACAAACGCCGGCGAGACUUCUUAGAGGGACAGGCGGUGAUUCAACCGCACGAAACAGAGCAAUAACAGGUCUGUGAUGCCCUUAGAUGUCCGGGGCCGCACGCGCGCUACACUGAAGUGAUCAGCGUGCUUUUUCAACCUACUCUGUCAAGAGUGGGGAACCCAAUGGACCUUCUUCGUGAUUGGGAUAGGGGAUUGUAAUUAUUCCCCUUGAACGAGGAAUUCCCAGUAAGCGCGAGUCAUAAGCUCGCGUUGAUUACGUCCCUGCCCUUUGUACACACCGCCCGUCGCUACUACCGAUUGAGUGUUUU
rnacentral:rRNA from 1 species